rnacentral:rRNA from 1 species
AGACGGGGGGGGCUAGCGUUGUUCGGAAUUACUGGGCGUAAAGGGUGCGCAGGCGGCCUGGGAAGUCUUGGGUGAAAGCCCCCAGCUCAACUGGGGAAUGGCCUGAGAAACCACUGGGCUGGAGUGCUGGAGAGGGAAGCGGAAUUCCCGGUGGAGCGGUGAAAUGCGUAGAUAUCGGGAGGAACACCAGAGGCGAAGGCGGCUUCCUGGACAGACACUGACGCUGAGGCACGAAAGCUAGGGGAGCAAACGGGAUUAGAAACCCCUGUAGUCC